CCUACGGGAGGCUGCAGUGAGGAAUAUUGGUCAAUGGACGCACGUCUGAACCAGCCAUGCCGCGUGCAGGAUGACGGCUCUAUGAGUUGUAAACCGCUUUUGUACGAGGGUAAACCCCGAUACGUGUAUUGGUUUGUAAGUAUCGUACGAAUAAGGAUCGGCUAACUCCGUGCCAGCAGCCGCGGUAAUACGGAGGAUCCGAGCGUUAUCCGGAUUUAUUGGGUUUAAGGGGUGCGUAGGCGGUGUGAUAAGUUAGAGGUGAAAUGUCGGGGCUCAACCCCGAAACUGCCUCUAAUACUGUGGGACUGGAGAAUAGUUGCGGUAGGCGGAAUGUAUGGUGUAGCGGUGAAAUGCUUAGAGAUCAUACAGAACACCGAUUGCGAAGGCAGCUUACCAAACUAUAUCUGACGUUGAGGCACGAAAGCGUGGGUAGCAAACAGGAUUAGAUACCCUUGUAGUC
rnacentral:rRNA from 1 species